UACGUAGGGGGCAAGCGUUAUCCGGAUUUACUGGGUGUAAAGGGAGCGCAGACGGCAGUGCAAGUCUGGAGUGAAAGCCCGGGGCCCAACCCCGGAACUGCUCUGGAAACUGUGCGGCUAGAGUACUGGAGGGGCAGGCGGAAUUCCUAGUGUAGCGGUGAAAUGCGUAGAUAUUAGGAGGAACACCAGUGGCGAAGGCGGCCUGCUGGACAGUGACUGACGUUGAGGCUCGAAAGCGUGGGGAGCAAACAGG
rnacentral:rRNA from 1 species